AACGCUAGCUACAGGCUUAACACAUGCAAGUCGAGGGGAAACGAUAUUGGAAGCUUGCUUCCGAUAGGCGUCGACCGGCGCACGGGUGAGUAACGCGUAUCCAACCUGCCCACCACUUGGGGAUAACCUUGCGAAAGUAAGACUAAUACCCAAUGAUAUCUCUAGAAGACACCUGAAAGAGAUUAAAGAUUUAUCGGUGAUGGAUGGGGAUGCGUCUGAUUAGCUUGUUGGCGGGGUAACGGCCCACCAAGGCGACGAUCAGUAGGGGUUCUGAGAGGAAGGUCCCCCACAUUGGAACUGAGACACGGUCCAAACUCCUACGGGAGGCAGCAGUGAGGAAUAUUGGUCAAUGGACGAGAGUCUGAACCAGCCAAGUAGCGUGCAGGAAGACGGCCCUAUGGGUUGUAAACUGCUUUUAUAAGGGAAUAAAGUGAGUCUCGUGAGACUUUUUGCAUGUACCUUAUGAAUAAGGACCGGCUAAUUCCGUGCCAGCAGCCGCGGUAAUACGGAAGGUCCGGGCGUUAUCCGGAUUUAUUGGGUUUAAAGGGAGCGUAGGCCGGAGAUUAAGCGUGUUGUGAAAUGUAGACGCUCAACGUCUGCACUGCAGCGCGAACUGGUUUCCUUGAGUACGCACAAAGUGGGCGGAAUUCGUGGUGUAGCGGUGAAGUGCUUAGAUAUCACGAAGAACUCCGAUUG
rnacentral:rRNA from 1 species